CACACUCUUACCAUACACAGGGGAAAUGGGUCCUCAGCUACACUUCAGCAGCACCUACUCAGAGGAGUUCAGUUACCCGGCUCGGGUCAAACCCACCCGGCCCAGACCGUCCUCUGCAUAUCGCAGGAACAAUCCUCAUCCACAACCGCAGCCAUUACUCCAGUCUUCAGUGUCACAUUAUUCUUCAGAAAUCAUUCUAAUAUGCUGAUUUGCUACUCAAGAAACAUUUCUUAUCAUUAUACAUGUUGCAGACAGUUCAGCCGCUUCAAAUUAUGGUGAACAUAUAUAUUUUGAACAUACAUAUUUUGAUGAAUAAAUGUUCAAAAG
ensembl:lncRNA